rnacentral:lncRNA from 1 species
CUUACUUACUGCUUUUGAUUUGGAAGCGUCGCCUUCAACUCCUUACAAUUCCUUCAUAUGAACUCCAAAAGCAAUAAUUCUUUCGUAAAUGAUGUAGGCCUUAAAAUCGCCGUUCUAGUCGCACCUUCCAAUCUUCAAAAGCUGUUGUAAAACUCCUUGUAUCCUCAAAAGAGUAACAGUAUGUCUUAAAUAAACACCUUAACUUCAAACGGUUAUAACUUUUUCUUUCUAACUCCAAAUCCUUUAAUUUUUGUACAAAAAUUAUUCUCCAA